UGGGGGUGCAGCUCAGUGGUAGAGCACUUGUCUAAUAUAUGCAAGGCCUUGGGUUCCAUCCCCAGUCCUACAA
rnacentral:tRNA from 1 species